AGAGUUUGAUUCUGGCUCAGGAUGAACGCUGGCGGCGUGCCUAAUACAUGCAAGUUGAACGGGGUGGAGUAAUCCACCAAGUAGCGAACGGGUGAGUAAUACGUAAGUAACCUACCUUCAUGUGGGGGAUAACUAGAGGAAACUCUUGCUAAUACCGCAUAAAAAGCACUUGACAUCAAGUGAAGUAAAAAGAUGGAGCAAUCCAUCGCAAGAAGAUGGGCUUACGGCGCAUUAGCUAGUUGGUGAGGUAACGGCUCACCAAGGUGAUGAUGCGUAGCCGACCUGAGAGGGUGAUCGGCCACAUUGGGACUGAGACACGGCCCAAACUCCUACGGGAGGCAGCAGUAGGGAAUUUUCGGCAAUGGGGGGAACCCUGACCGAGCAACGCCGCGUGAAGGAAGAAGGUCUUCGGAUUGUAAACUUCUGUUAUAGGGAAAGAAUGAUACUUAGAGGAAAUGCUAGGUAAGUGACGGUACCCUAUUAGAAAGCCACGGCUAACUACGUGCCAGCAGCCGCGGUAAUACGUAGGUGGCAAGCGUUAUCCGGAAUUAUUGGGCGUAAAGAGUGAGUAGGCGGUUUCUUAAGUUUGAAGUGAAAAGCAGUUGCUUAACAACUGUUUGCUUUGAAAACUGGGGAACUAGAGUGCAGGAGAGGUUAACGGAAUUCCAUGUGUAGCGGUGAAAUGCGUAGAUAUAUGGAGGAACACCAGUGGCGAAGGCGGUUAACUGGCCUGUGACUGACGCUCAGUCACGAAAGCGUGGGGAACAAAUAGGAUUAGAUACCCUAGUAGUCCACGCUGUAAACGAUGAGUACUAAGUGUUGGGGAAACCCAGUGCUGAAGUUAACACACUAAGUACUCCGCCUGAGGAGUACGCUCGCAAGAGUGAAACUCAAAGGAAUAGACGGGGGCCCGCACAAGCGGUGGAGCAUGUGGAUUAAUUCGACGCAACGCGAAGAACCUUACCAGGUCUUGACAUCCGAUGCAAGGCACUAGAGAUAGUGAGAUAGAAAUGGUCGAGACAGGUGGUGCAUGGUUGUCGUCAGCUCGUGUCGUGAGAUGUUUGGUUAAGUCCAGCAACGAGCGCAACCCUUGUCCUUAGUUGCCAUCAUUAAGUUGGGGACCCUAAGGAGACUGCCGGUGCAAAUCGGAGGAAGGUGGGGAGGACGUCAAAUCAUCAUGCCCUUUAUGUCCUGGGCUACACACGUGCUACAAUGGCCGGUACAGAGGGCUGCGAAGCCGUGAGGUGGAGCGAAUCUCAAAAAGCCGGUCUCAGUUCGGAUUGCAGGCUACAACCCGCCUGCAUGAAGUCGGAAUCGCUAGUAAUCGCGAGUCAGCAUAUCGCGGUGAAUACGUUCCCGGGUCUUGCACACACCGCCCGUCAA
rnacentral:rRNA from 1 species